UACGUAGGGUGCGAGCGUUAAUCGGAAUUACUGGGCGUAAAGCGUGCGCAGGCGGCGUGUUAAGACAGGUGUGAAAGCCCCGAGCUUAACUUGGGAAUUGCGCUUGUGACUGGCGUGCUGGAGUGUGGCAGAGGGAGGUGGAAUUCCACGUGUAGCAGUGAAAUGCGUAGAGAUGUGGAGGAAUACCGAUGGCGAAGGCAGCCCCCUGGGAUAACACUGACGCUCAUGCACGAAAGCGUGGGGAGCAAACAGG
rnacentral:rRNA from 1 species